CUCGUAGUCCUAACUAUAAACGAUGUCAACCAAGGAUUGGAUGAAAUUCAGAUGUACAAAGAUGAAGAAACAUUGUUUCUAAAUCCAAGUAUAUCAAUACUACCUUGUUCAGAACUUAAAGAGAAAUCUUGAGUUUAUGGACUUCAGGGGGAGUAUGGUCACAAGGCUGAAACUUAAAGGAAUUGACGGAAGGGCACACCAGGAGUGGAGCCUGCGGCUUAAUUUGACUCAACACGGGAAAACUUACCAAGACC
rnacentral:rRNA from 1 species